UGUGGAUAGCUCAGUCAGUAGAGCAUGAAAUUUAAAAUCUCAGGGUCGUGGGUUCAAGCCCCAUGUUGGAAA